rnacentral:rRNA from 1 species
GUGGGGAAUCUUCCGCAAUGGACGAAAGUCUGACGGAGCAACGCCGCGUGAGUGAUGAAGGUCUUCGGAUUGUAAAGCUCUGUUAAUCGGGACGAAAGAGCCUAGUGUGAAUAAUGCUAGGAAGUGACGGUACCGGAAUAGAAAGCCACGGCUAACUACGUGCCAGCAGCCGCGGUAAUACGUAGGUGGCAAGCGUUGUCCGGAAUUAUUGGGCGUAAAGCGCGCGCAGGCGGAUCUGCCAGUCUGUCUUAAAAGUUCGGGGCUUAACCCCAUGAUGGGAUGGAAACUACAGAUCUAGAGUAUCGGAGAGGAAAGUGGAAUUCCAAGUGUAGCGGCGAAAUGCGUAGAGAUUUGGAAGAACACCAGUGGCGAAGGCGACUUUCUGGACGAUGUCUGACGCUGAGGCGCGAAAGCUAGGGGAGCGAACGGGAUUAGAAACCCUGGUAGUCC